rnacentral:rRNA from 1 species
UACGAUGGGUGUGCUGGUGAAAUGUUCGGAUUGGUAGCCUUUCCGUAAGGGAGGCUCCUGAGAAGUUCACUGAACCCUCUCAUCUAGAGGAAGGAGAAGUCGUAACAAGGUCUCCGUAGGUGAACCUGCGGAGGGAUCCAUAGCAUUCGUAAACAAUCAUGUCGGUCAAAACAAAAAGCGAGGGGGGACGCCCUCUCCACCGACCCUCCUUGGCUAGGGCUGGCCGUCCCAGCGGCGCGCCAGACCCAGGCCUCACCGCCACGGUACCGUGGUGCCCUGCAACCCCCGGGAGAACGUUGUCCCACACGGGGCGCGCAGGACCCAAGCACCCGGUACGGGCUUACGGCUGGACGGGCACCACCCAAGCGGGUGGCUCGGCCGUGCAGCCGGAAGCUGGGGCCUCCGACCAAGCAGCCAUUCGGCGGUGGUCCAUUCUCACGAGUGGCCCACCAACGGGUGGCUGUGGAGCCCCGCCGCCGCUAUACUACAUUCACAACAAUCAUCCUCAGAAUCAACCUGUGUGUGUGCCUUGAGCGUCUAGCACGCCAAGCAAGCUAACUGAAAGUAACACUGUACAAUGGAUUUCUUGGCUCCCACAUCGAUGAAGAACGCAGCAAAGCGCGAUAGGUAGUGUGAAUUGCAGAAUUCCGUGAAUCAUCGAAUUUUUGAACGCACAUUGCGCUCAAGCCUUCGGGCUUGAGCAUGUCUGCCUCAGCGUCGUUUCAAAUGGCUUGCCGUCCGUGACCCUUGCCGCUCCCUUCGAGGGAGGGCAUGGGUUUAAGCCGUGACCUCCGGCGCGUCCGUCCAUCCGUGGGCGGCGUGCGGCAGCAGCCACUCCGGCACUGCUCAUCGUAAGCAUGCUGCAUACCGUGGCAUAUAUGCUCUACCAUGGGCCCUGCUGGUUAGUUGAUGGCGCGGCUUGCUUGACGUGUGUUGUGUUUAUCUCAGCACACACAAGCAGGCUCUGCUUCAGCUGGACACCUGGCUGCGCAACACACCAUUCGACCUGAGUUUAGGCAGGGUUACCCGCUGAACUUAAGCAUAUCAAUAAGCGGAGG